rnacentral:rRNA from 1 species
UACGGAGGGUGCAAGCGUUAUCCGGAUUCACUGGGCGUAGAGAGCUUGUAGGCGGUCUGUCGCGUCUGCUGUGAAAAUCCGGGGCUCAACCCCGGACUUGCAGUGGGUACGGGCAGACUAGAGUGUGGUAGGGGAGACUGAAAUUCCUGGUGUAGCGGUGAAAUGCGCAGAUAUCAGGAGGAACACCGAUGGCGAAGGCAGGUCUCUGGGCCACUACUGACGCUGAGAAGCGAAAGCAUGGGGAGCGAACAGG